GACGAACGCUGGCGGCGUGCUUAACACAUGCAAGUCGAGCGGAGCGGCGAACGGGUGAGUAACGCGUGAGUAACUGCCCCCCUCUCUGGGCUAACAGUUGGAAACGGCUGCUAAUACCGGAUAGUGGGGGAUGACUCGCGUCCUAUCAGCUUGUUGGUGGGGUAGUGGCCUACCAAGGCGACGACGGGUGGCCGGCCGGAGAGGGCGACCGGCCACAAUGGGCUGCGGUAGGGGGCAAGCGGCUACGGGAGGCAGGAGGGGGGAAUAUUGGACAAUGGGGGAAACUCUGAUGCAGCGACGCCGCGUGCGGGAUGGCGGCCAUCGGGUUGUAAACCGCUAUCAGCCAUGACGCGGUAGUGGCAGAAGAAGCACCGGCUAACUACGUGCCAGCAGCCGCGGUAAUUC
rnacentral:rRNA from 1 species